GACGAACGCUGGCGGCGUGCUUAACACAUGCAAGUCGAACGGAAAGGCCCUGCUUUUGUGGGGUGCUCGAGUGGCGAACGGGUGAGUAACACGUGAGUAACCUGCCCUUGACUUUGGGAUAACUUCAGGAAACUGGGGCUAAUACCGGAUAGGAGCUCCUGCUGCAUGGUGGGGGUUGGAAAGUUUCGGCGGUUGGGGAUGGACUCGCGGCUUAUCAGCUUGUUGGUGGGGUAGUGGCUUACCAAGGCUUUGACGGGUAGCCGGCCUGAGAGGGUGACCGGCCACAGUGGGAAUGAGAGACGACGGAGAAGCCUACGGGAGGCAGCAGGGGGGAAUAGUGCACAAGGGGCGGAGGCCGGAGGCAGCAACGCCGGGUGGGGGAGGAGGGGGUUCGGGAUGUAAAAAGCUUUCGCCGGUGACGAAGCGGGAGGGAGGGGAAAGGGUAAAGAAGCACCGGCUAACUACG
rnacentral:rRNA from 1 species